CAUACGAUAAAUUGGAAUCGAUACAGAGAAGAUUAGCAUGGCCCCUGCGAAAGGAUGACACGCAAAUUCGUGAAGCGUUUCCACAUUUUGAUGUGCCGGUUUUGCCUCGGGGAAAUGCGGGUGAUGCGUGUCCUUCAUAAGUGGCUGGAAUUCCCGGCGUUCAUGUGGCUUUUCCCAACCGAUGUCAUUACGUGGUGAAUGCCAGCGGCAAGGAGGCAACACCUUGUCCAGAAGGUGUAUUGUUGCGACGUGAAAGACAAGAAAACUCUACGCCAAACAGUCCCUAACAUUGCAGUGGCAUGUAGAACCUUAUACAGUGUUACUUGUCCUGGAGCUGAUUCCGCAGAGAGAUGCUCAAGAGUUUGUCUAAGAGGCUCCCAGUUGUCCUGGGAUGUGUCAUGGGAGGGGAUGAGUAGGUUUUGGGGGCCCGAGGUUUAGCCUCCGGCCUGAAGGAAAAAGUGCGAAUCAAAGCUUCCAGCGUCCUGACCUAAAAGUUCUUGCUGGCUACAACCACAGUGAGUCGGACGUAGCAAACAUGACGUUAUCAAGAAGGUAGCCAAGGCAGUUGUUGACUUAGUCUAAUUCCUUUACCCAAACCAGGGACACAAGUCAAACUGGGGCCCUAUGCUUUGGCAUCCCAUACUGGCUAUCAGAGCCAGACGACAGCAAAAGGUGGGCGUGUCCCAAGUGCUCAGAAUAAUAUAUUUGGCAUGAAGAACGUUGCACAGUGUGGCUUAUCCUGGAGCUGAUUGUGCAAAGAGAUGCUCCAGAGUUUGUCUAAGAGGCUCCCAGUUGUCCUGGGAUGUGUCAUGGGAGGGGAUGAGUAGGUUUUGGGGGCCCGAGGUUUAGCCUCCGGCCUGAAAGAAAAAUUGGGCACCGCCUCCUACAGUGUCAGGGCAUUUUUGGCCAUGCCCUUUAUGUGAACAUCAUAAACGUGCAGACAGAAUUGGAAGGCAGUAUAUAGCAAUUGCAAGUAUUGUGAGGUCAACAUUUGUGAUGCUUCGGGGUGUUGCCUACUAGGGAUUGCAGCCCUCUAGCCUGCACUGCUGCAAAGGGGUUCUUUGGCCAGUAGGGGAUUAAAAGUUAGGCAGCAAGGUGGGGUUUGUGUGCUUGCUCCGGCAGCACAUACGAUAAAUUGGAAUCGAUACAGAGAAGAUUAGCAUGGCCCCUGCGAAAGGAUGACACGCAAAUUCGUGAAGCGUUUCCACAUUUUGAUGUGCCGGUUUUGCCUCGGGGAAAUGCGGGUGAUGCGUGUCCUUCAUAAGUGGCUGGAAUUCCCGGCGUUCGUGUGGCUUUU